ensembl:lncRNA
GUGGUACCCGAGCGCACGCUCAUUAAUGUGUCUGUAGCCUACACUGAUGCGCCUGGCGCCAGUAAAUUCCAUAUCAAGCGAGCGGGGCGGAGUCGCGGGAGAGCAGUGACCUCCUGUAGGCCAAUCACAGAUAAGUAUAGCUGCAAUUGGCUCAUGUAUCUAUGCUCUUUCAAUUUCUAUUCCAAACAGUAAUGCCCCGGACCAAAAAACUAAAAGACAUAUCAAUCAGCAGUGUAAUUUCUCGGGGGUCUUUUCUCUCUCGUGAAGCUCACAGAAAGACCAAUUGGCCGCUGAUAAUGUCUUCUUUUACCAUGACUCAGACGGACGGAUGGAGGCAAAUUGAAACUAUAAAUGAUGGAGGAGGAUGCGCCUGGGCCCAGAGGAGGGGGGGUCCUCUCUCAAGGACACAGCAGCAUUGUCUCACAGGGGUGCUAUCCUUACAGAGCAGUACUGAGCCCUUGGAGCAGUCCUCUACAACAGAGCAAAUGAGUUGCAACAGGAAUUUCAAAUAUCAAAAAAGCCACAGCGGGAGAGUCAUCAGAGUGGAGAGAAAGACACAAACCAACUGAUGCAUUAUUGUCCUUCACUCAUAUGACUAGAUGGAAGCUGGGCACUGGGGUACAUGAACACAGCACACAGCCCAUCCUCGUGAAAGUCGAAACCCAGCACUGAAUUUAAAAACAAUGCCUUUUCAGCUUUAAAAAAAACCUUGAUCCAUUUACUCUGUGAAGCUGGCAUAGGUUUGAAUUGAAUAAGUUAUAUGACGUAUUCAGCCUUUCAAAUAUUGAGACUGUCCAAUGAAUCUGAUACUCCGUGAUCCCCAUCACCAUCCCCUAACCGUAAUUCUGAUCUUAACACACACUCUAACCUCCAUAACCUAGCCUUUAUGCCUAAACUUAACCUAAUACUACCGGCUUACCCUAAACCUAACCUGAGAUGUCAAAACCUAAAAGUGAGUCCAAUUCUAACACCAACCUUAAUUUAAUUUUUUUUGCCCCAAUCACAAUAUCUACAUGGUUAAAAAAUAAGAGACUUUUCCCUAGUUGGACCAGCUAAUAAACCUAAUGGGGACCUAUUUGUCAGGUUUAAUAAUCUGAAAUAGGAUUUCUGUUUCACAAAAGUGUUGUAAAACCUGGAUCACACACACAUACAGAAAGGUUGGGGGAGUGUGAGGGGACUGAUAGGUGAUAUGUAAAUACUGCACUUGUGGAGUUUUAAGUGAAAUUGUAAGUACAUUUUAUGAGGUAAGAAAAUCUAUCUGCUCACCCUAGAUAAUAGCCCAUCUGUAGGAAAUAAUCUAGUCACAAGUGGUCAAAAUGAAUUUUUGCAUUCAAAUGGAUAGGACUUUUAAAUUUAUUUAAUAUGUCCAACUCCUCAAGGACACCAUAAUUGAAACUAGUGAUGCAACUUCUCUAUUAACACAGACUCUUUUGAAUUUCAUGGCUAGCUUGGAACGCAACUAAAGCAGAUAGAUAUUAGCUAAUCUUUAAUUGCGUAAUGCUGCAUUAGUUUACAGAAAAGUUAAUUAUAUCGAGGGAAAAAGGUUUUUAUCCACUUUGUUGAUAGUGAGGAAACAUUCAAAGCCCUAGAUCUUAAGAAGUGUCCACAGAGUUUAUACACAUACCUUUGUUGACGAUACACAUGUUUUUGCCGAGCCUGAUGAGUUUAGAUGUAAUAAACGUUUCUGCAAACCUAUAUUACAUUCUGCAACUAAAGCUAAUGUGUUGCUACUUUAGUUGCGGUCGAAGCUAACUGAGAUCAUUAAACUGUUGUCAUUUCUUCUGUGUAAUGGGGGUUGAUGGAGUCUUAAUUCUUUGGAAACACAUGGUUAUACUGACAUAUAUCAAUAUAACACUGACGUUGAUCUCAAACCUAUGAUUGGUUAUCCAAGAUCUGCAUUAUUCCAUGACAAUCUACAACCAUCUACAUUUUCACGA